GUUGUCACCUUCAGGGAUGUUGUUCCCUUGGUCUUCUACUGUCGGGGCAUGGUCGUCUUCGAUGCUUUCUUCUACUAUAUGGUCGUACACAUCUAGGUUGCUGUCAUUGUUGGCAAAUUGGAAACAAUGAUAGCGACUGUCGGGCAAAUUUGUCAUUAUUGGUAAAUUGGUCGUACACAUCUACUGUCUGGCCAUCCAAUUUGCCAACAGUGACGUCAACCUAGAUGUGUAUGACCAUAUAGUAGAAGAAAACAUUAAAGACGACUAUGCCCUGAUAGUAGAAAACCAAGGCGACAACAUCCCUGGAGAUGAGCU